rnacentral:piRNA from 1 species
CGGCUCGAAGGACUUCGUGCAUU